rnacentral:rRNA from 1 species
AGGAUGAACGCUGGCGGCGUGCUUAAUACAUGCAAGUCGAACGAAGAGCCUUUGUAGCAAUACAGGGGUUUCUUAGUGGCGAACGGGUGCGUAACGCGUUGGUGACCUGCCUCAAAGUGUGGGAUAACAGUUCGAAAGGACUGCUAAUACCGCAUGUGGUCAUCGGGUUUAGAAGCCGAUGUCUAAAGCAGUAAUGCGCUUUGGGAGGGACCUGCGUCCCCAUCAGCUAGUUGGUGAGGUAACGGCCCACCAAGGCUACGACGGGUAGGGGACCUGAGAGGGUGGUCCCCCACACUGGCACUGAAACACGGGCCAGACACCUACGGGUGGCAGCAGUAGGGAAUAUUGGGCAAUGGGCGAAAGCCUGACCCAGCAACGCCGCGUGCACGAUGAAGGUCUUCGGAUCGUAAAGUGCCUUUCUGAGAGAUGAGAAAGGACAGUAUCUCAGGAAUAAGUCUCGGCUAACUACGUGCCAGCAGCCGCGGUAAAACGUAGGAGGCAAGCGUUAUCCGGAUUUACUGGGCGUAAAGCGCGUGCAGGUGGUUUGGUAAGUUGGAUGUGAAAGCUCCUGGCUCAACUGGGAGAGGUCGUUCAAUACUACCAGACUUGAGAGCAGUAGAGGGAGGUGGAAUUCCCGGUGUAGUGGUGAAAUGCGUAGAUAUCGGGAGGAACACCAGUGGCGAAAGCGGCCUCCUGGACUGUUUCUGACACUCAGACGCGAAAGCUAGGGUAGCAAACGGGAUUAGAGACCCCGGUAGUCCUAGCUGUAAACGAUGUGAACUUGGCGUCGGCGGGUUCAAAGCCGUCGGUGCCGAAGCUAACGCGAUAAGUUCACCGCCUGGGGACUACGGCCGCAAGGUUAAA